AUACCAUGAUGUGGACACGUAACCAGCAGACCCUUGAACCUCUCCCACAUUUCUUGUAAUGUCUCUAUUGGUUUCUGUCUGAAGCUCAAUAUCUCAUCAAUUUGUUG
rnacentral:snoRNA from 1 species